UACGUAGGGUGCGAGCGUUAAUCGGAAUUACUGGGCGUAAAGCGUGCGCAGGCGGUUGGUUAAGUCUGAUGUGAAAGCCCCGGGCUCAACCUGGGAAUGGCAUUGGAAACUGUCCAGCUGGAGUGUGGCAGAGGGGGGUGGAAUUCCGCGCGUAGCAGUGAAAUGCGUAGAGAUGCGGAGGAACACCGAUGGCGAAGGCAGCCCCCUGGGCCAACACUGACGCUCAGGCACGAAAGCGUGGGGAGCAAACAGG
rnacentral:rRNA from 1 species